rnacentral:rRNA from 1 species
AUAUCAGUAAGCGGAGGAAAAGAAACUAACAAGGAUUCCCUUAGUAAUGGCGAAUGAAGAGGGAAAAGCUCAAUUUUUAAAUCUGUGAGGUUUCCUCACCGAAUUGUAGUAUAUAGAAAAUAUUUUCUAGUAAUAAAUUUUGAUAAAAGUCCUUUGGAAAAAGGUAUCAUAGAGGGUGAUAAUCCCGUCUUUGAUCAAAAUUUUAUUACAAUAUGAUAUAUUUUCAAAGAGUCGGGUUGUUUGGGAGUACAGCCCUAAAUGGGUGGUAAAUUUCAUCUAAAGCUAAAUAUUGGCAAGAGACCGAUAGCGCACAAGUA